UAGGGAAUCUUCCACAAUGGACGCAAGUCUGAUGGAGCAACGCCGCGUGAGUGAAGAAGGUUUUCGGAUCGUAAAACUCUGUUGUUGGUGAAGAAGGAUAGAGGCAGUAACUGGUCUUUAUUUGACGGUAAUCAACCAGAAAGUCACGGCUAACUACGUGCCAGCAGCCGCGGUAAUACGUAGGUGGCAAGCGUUGUCCGGAUUUAUUGGGCGUAAAGCGAGCGCAGGCGGAAUGAUAAGUCUGAUGUGAAAGCCCACGGCUCAACCGUGGAACUGCAUCGGAAACUGUCAUUCUUGAGUGCAGAAGAGGAGAGUGGAACUCCAUGUGUAGCGGUGGAAUGCGUAGAUAUAUGGAAGAACACCAGUGGCGAAGGCGGCUCUCUGGUCUGCAACUGACGCUGGGGCUCGAAAGCAUGGGUAGCGAACAGGAUUAGAUACCCUGGUAGUCCAUGCCGUAAACGAUGAGCGCUAGGUGUUGGGGACUUUCCGGUUCUCAGUGCCGCAGCAAA
rnacentral:rRNA from 1 species